AACGAACGCUGGCGGCAGGCUUAACACAUGCAAGUCGAACGGAUCCUUCGGGAUUAGUGGCAGACGGGUGAGUAACGCGUGGGAACGUACCCUUUGCUACGGAAUAACUCAGGGAAACUUGAGCUAAUACCGUAUGUGCCCUACGGGGGAAAGAUUUAUCGGCAAAGGAUCGGCCCGCGUUGGAUUAGCUAGUUGGUGGGGUAAUGGCCUACCAAGGCGACGAUCCAUAGCUGGUCUGAGAGGAUGAUCAGCCACACUGGGACUGAGACACGGCCCAGACUCCGACGGGAGGCAGCAGUGGGGAAUAUUGGACAAUGGGCGCAAGCCUGAUCCAGCCAUGCCGCGUGAGUGAUGAAGGUCUUAGGAUUGUAAAGCUCUUUCACCGGUGAAGAUAAUGACGGUAGCCGGAGAAGAAGCCCCGGCUAACUUCGUG
rnacentral:rRNA from 1 species